GCAAGUCGAGGGGUAACAGAAUAGCUUGCUAUUGCUGACGACCGGCGCACGGGUGCGUAACGCGUAUAGAGCCUACCUUAAACAGAGGGAUACCCUUUAGAAAUGAAGAUUAAUACCUCAUAGUGUAGCAGAGUGGCAUCACUUUGCUAUUAAAGAUUUAUCAGUUUAAGAUGGCUAUGCGUUCUAUUAGUUAGUUGGUAAGGUAACGGCUUACCAAGACCUCGAUAGAUAGGGGCCCUGAGAGGGGGAUC
rnacentral:rRNA from 1 species